CAACGCCGCGUGGAGGAUGAAAUCCCUUGGGAUGUAAACUCCUUUCGAUCGGGACGAUUAUGACGGUACCGGAGGAAGAAGCCCCGGCUAACUUCGUGC
rnacentral:rRNA from 1 species